rnacentral:rRNA from 1 species
UACGUAGGGUGCGAGCGUUAAUCGGAAUUACUGGGCGUAAAGUGUGCGCAGGCGGCGCCGCAAGUCGAGUGUGAAAUCCCCGAGCUUAACUUGGGAAUUGCGCUCGAAACUACGUGGCUCGAGUGUGGCAGAGGAAGGUGGAAUUCCACGUGUAGCGGUGAAAUGCGUAGAGAUGUGGAGGAACACCGAUGGCGAAGGCAGCCUUCUGGGCCAACACUGACGCUCAUGCACGAAAGCGUGGGGAGCAAACAGG